UUGAUCUUGUGCACUUAAUCAUGCUAUGUAUAAUUUAAUUAUGAAGAUGUUCUCACUCCUGCCAAGCAAAAUUAUGAAAUAGUUGCUUGACUUUCUUCCAUAUGUCUGGUAUAGCUAGUUGUUUGAGCUGAUGACAUAUAUUGCUCUGGCCAAGACCAGGAAGGUUCAAAUUGAAUAAGUUGAUUCAGUAAGCUAAGAACAAUUGAGAUGGUAACAUGCUAGCUCAGUGGCAAGCGAUAUUUAAAUGUAACACAGACGAAAGCUCAAUGUUUCAAGAUCAUAGAUGUGGUUUACAGGCUGAAGUUGAUCCUAACAGAAAGAUGAUGAAGGUGGUUUAAUUUAUGGGCUAAGUUGAUUGUACAACAUGUUGCUUUUGAGAUGGAUAAUCCAUCAGAAUAGUGUCUUGCAAGUACUGCAUAUAUCUCCAGGGUCCUAGUGCUCUACUGGAAGCUCUGUCGGUCACUGCUUCAAAAUGAUAUCCAACAUUUCCAUGUGGUCGAAUGUACGUACAAGGACCUAGAUGCUAAGGAACUACUAUACUCUUAUAUUGCUUGAUGAUAGAUGAUGCGUUAUGUAUGUUACUUGGACACUCUUCCUUCUGAAACGAGGAUCCUGUGUUCGCCUCACAAAAUCCUGUAUCCUAUAUGUCCAAAAAUAUUACAUAAAUACACAUGGAACUUCUUAAAAGCCUUAUUUUAACCCUCAUAUAUAUUUGCCCAAGUAUCUUGGCAUAGUUUGAACUCUCCUAUCCCUUUCAUGAAUGCUUCAUUUUCUUAACUGACCUUAAUGAAUAAGAAACGCUUAUAUACCA